GCGCAAGAUGGCGGCAUGACUAGUUGCAUUUGCAUGGCUGCGUAAAAUAAAGUUCGGAAGAGUGAGUUACCAUGGAUUUGUCAGUUCCCGAAGAGAUGGACGUUGAGGUUCAAAAGAUGACGGAGAAAAGACUUAUUGACGACACACACUCCUACACUUGCCGUAGCAAAAAAGGAGGUGAAUGUGACUCUUUCCCAAACAUGCCGUCUAAAACACAGCCGCCGAAGAAGCUCGCAAAAGGAGAUGCAUCAGAGGACUUAACCUUAAGUCAGGUACAGCACAGCAUCAUUCAAAUAAUCAAACAAUCAUCCGAGGAAAUAAAAGACAUGGUGAAAGAAAACUCAACCAGCAUCAACCUCUUGAAAGAAGCACUGGAAGUUGUGCAUUCUGAAAUAUUUGACAUUCGGAAAGAAAACGAAGAUUU